rnacentral:lncRNA from 1 species
AUUUGUUGAAAGAAAAGUUAAGUUCAGGAAACUUUAAUUUUAGUCCCUGAAGUUUUUUUUUAUGAACUGGGGUCUUAUUCAAAAGUUAAAUACGGGAACUUCACAUGGUCGUAUUUUUGGACGCUGUGAAAGUUUAUUUAUUUAUUUAUUUUUAUUCACUUAUUUAUGUAUCUAUUUAUUUUAUAUGUUCUUCUGAGAGUGAAAUUCUAUUAGUUUAGCAAAUUAAAUUAAAUAUGACAUCAUACGUUUAGAUAUCCGAUUUAUGUAAUGUUGGCAUAUAUUUAAGUAAGAUUUUACAAAUGUCGUAAAUAUGUUAGUAAAUAACUAUUGGUGGGUCGAACAAGAUAUGUGAAUAUCGGAACCAAAAUGAUCGCAUAGGAUGUUUUUCUAGGAUUGUUGCCUUAGAAAUAUGUUGGUUAAAUGUAGGGAGCGUGUAGCGUGACAAGCUUUGGUUAAGACCUAACGCCAACAAGGUGAGUUUCGUGUGAAUUUUGUGGUUGCUUGCAUGAAAAGUUGAUUCUAAAUUAUUUGCAAUUAUAUGUUACUGUUGUUAUUGCUAUGAAUAUUUGUGUGAAAUUUUGUGAAUUAUUUCAUAUAAAAGGGUGAAAAUGGUGGGUGACAUAUAGGGAACAGGUGUAUUUACACGGUCUUAUUAUUAGUCGUCGUACAGGGUGUUAGUACGCGGCGGAGAGCUUACGCUCUGUUUAUCUAGCUGUAAGCAUAUUUGUUGUGCCCGGCGGAGGGACUCGUUCCCUGGAAUUGACAGUAGUUCCCUAAUGUGUCAUCAAGGGUGGAAAUAAAUGAAAAGAUUUAUAUUGAUAAAUUGUCGCAUUAUUUUUAUUUUAUUGACGUCAAUAUGCAUGAAAACCACGAACUCACUAGGCCCUAGGCUUACCCAUUAGAAUCUUUAAAUGCACGCAACCCAGGAAAUUACGUAGCAAGUGGCAGCGGGAAUGGAAAGGAUAAGGUUCAGACUUGAAGAAGGCGACAAGUUUUGAGGAAGACGUGGCGCACCAAGUGUUUAAUUAAAUUUCUAAUUGCUUCCGCUAUUAUUAUUAUUAAUUACUUUAGUAUUUGAAUCUUGAUUUUUGGAUGUUUUGGGACUAUGUUAAGUUAUAUUUAUAUUUAAAAUUUGGGGUGUUACAAGUUGGUAUCAGAGACUGGUUUAAGCAGAUUAGUCGUUGUUUAAACGCCUAAGCUUAAACGGGAGGAGCGGUACAUCGCCUAAUCUGGAAUACGUCUCGUUUGUAGGUACGAUGGAUCAUGGAAAGGCAAUCGUCGAUGGUGGGGUGUCAGUUGAGGGUACUAGUGGGUUACUUCCCCACGAGAAGUUGAAGGCCGAGUUAGAGCUCUCUGACUCGGAAGGCAAUCUGGAACCAACGACCCCACUCAGCCUCUCUGAACGGGAUGAAGAAGACGAGGAUGUGGAAUCCGAGGUGGAGCCCGAAGAAGAUCCUGAGGAGGAGCCCGAAGAAGAUCCUGAGGAGGAAUCCGAUGGAAAUCACGUGGAGUACCAUGCGGAGCAAAGAUACGAAACGUUCCAUAUGCCUUAUGUGGAGUACACGCCAACUAGUCCUGGUACCUACUGGGAGCGACUUUAUAAAGAUGAAAUGCCACAGGCACAGCUCGAGAUUCACAGUUUGAAAAGAAAGAUUGAAGAGAUAGAUGAACAUAGGUCAAGGCUCGUACAGGAGAACCAAAUAAGGGUUGUUGCUGCUAUGAAAAUUAAACGCAAGAUACGAAGGUUGGAACAGGAGGUGUCAGAGCUAAGGAAACCGACUAUCACUAAGUUGUGGGAAGGGUUUGUGGCUUGGGCAAAACAAGCCAAGGCCACGACUUACGGAUUCCUAGAUAAGGUGGUUGGAAGAGAACCACCUCAGGCCGAGGUGUUGGUCAUUCAAAGUGGUCCCGGAGAUCGAAAAGCUAAAAAGAUAAGGAAGUACUUGAAGGAGGGAAAGAGAAUAUUGAAAUAUGAUGACAUCAUUUUUAAAAAUUAGAAAGUAGGAGUGCAAUGAUUUGUCUUUUUUUUUUUAUUAUUAUUUCUCUUGGUUGUUGGCUUGAGUGACUUGAUGUGAACAAGACAUAUGCCUAUUUUUGAAGUUUUAAUAAUUUGGAAUAAAAUUUAUGUUUGUUAUACUUAUUGUGUUAUAAACAUAAAUAUGUAGUUGAUAUGUCUUCACGAAGGUCUGGGAGGUUCACUAGGGUCACUCCGGAGGAAGAGCGCAUCCCAAUUGGAGCUUAUGUUAGAGCACCAGGAGAUGUUCCAGAAACCCCACUGAACCCGAACGCUAGUCGUGGACGGGGCCAAGGAAGAGGUAGGGGUAGAGGAAGAGGCCGAGGUGCUGUUACAGCACCGAUACCUGUACAAUCGGCCCAUGGUAGCUCUGGAUCCCACCGCGGUCGAGGUCGAGGUCGUGGAAGGGGUCGUGCGGCAAACACGAUCACUAGAGAGGAGUUGGCUGAUGAGAUUGCUCGAGCAAUUCGAGACACCUUACCAGAUGUAAUUGCUCAGGCACGAGAAGCAAUAAUGGGUGAGUAUGAAGGUAACUUGGGUGGAGGUGAAGAGGACUACGAUUACAGUACACCAAAUAUGAGUCGUGAACCAAGUAUUGCACAACCCACAAGGCAUCAUGGCAACCACGAUCGGCGGGGUUGUAGUUACAAGACGUUCAUGAACUGCAAGCCACCCAUUUUUAACGGAGAAAUUGAUCCCGUUUUGUCAUCAACAUGGAUCAUGGAGAUUGAGGGAACAUUCGAUACUAGCAAGUGUGCGGAUGAGGACAAGGUGAUUUAUGCUGCGACAAUGCUAAAAGGGGAGGCAAUACAUUGGUGGGGCAUGGUGAAGGAGGUUAGGGGGCGUGAGGCAGCCAAGAAUAUGUCAUGGGAUGAGUUCCUAAGAAUUUUUAAAGAAAAGUUUUACCCUCGUACAGCGGUUAAACAGUUGGAGGAAGAAUUUUUAAGGUUGGAGCAGAGGAAUAUGACUGUGAGGGAGUAUACCACAAAGUUCACGGAGAAGGCUAGGUUUGCCGAAUUUUACGUAUCUACGGAAGAAAGAAGGGUGGAACGCUAUAUUUGGGGAUUGAGAACAGCUAUCCGUGAAUUUGUGCAAAUUCAGAAACCGGGUACUUUCCAGUCUGCUGUUGAUGCUGCAGAAGGUCGCGAACGUGAGAAGAAUCGUCAAGGUGAAGACAGGGCUUUGGGGAAAAGAAAAUGGGAGGGUACAAAUAAUGAUUCGAAGAAAGGCAAGACUUCAGGGCAAGAACGUAAGGUUGAUCAAAGCUCUGGAGUAAAGCAAUGUCCGAAAUGUAACCGUUAUCAUAAGGGGGAGUGUAACAUGAAUCAGAAAGUUUGCUACAAGUGUGGCAAGCCAGGGCACAUAGCCACAGAAUGUAAGACAGGAAGGGUAUGUUACGGGUGUGGUUCCCCUAACCACAUUAAGUCGGAAUGUCCCCAGAGUAAAGGUAACAACAAUCAAGGCAGGAUAACAGACAAUCGGUCGACGGAUAAAAAGGCUGACACUGGUAGACCAAAAGCUAGAGCUUUUUGCAUGACGGCUCAGGAGGCUCAGGAGAUCCCGAAUGUGGUGACAGGUACUUUCCCAGUAAACUCAAUUCAUGCUAGGGUGUUAUUUGAUUCUGGUGCAAAUAGAUCUUUUGUGUCUUCUACUUUUUGCAAAAACCUGGGUAGAAAUUCAAAGACUCUAGAACAUGCCUUAGAAAUUGAAACUGCUGACGAUCAUUGGGUAGUAGUAAGAGAGGAAUAUGAUGAUUGCUCUAUCGAAAUCGAAGGUAGUGUGCUACCAUUAAAAUUAUUACCUAUAGCCCUAGGUGAUUUUGAUAUUGUUAUAGGGAUGGAUUGGUUGUCGAAAAACCAAGCGAUUAUAGAUUGUGAAAAUAGGAUUGUUCAAGUUUGGGUGCCAGAAAAAGGAAUGGUAAAAAUUUACGGUGAUCGGCGAAUUAAGGACUCUAUUUUGAUAUCAGUGACUAAGGCAACUCGUUAUCUAAAGAAAGCGUGUCAAAGUUAUUGGGCAUAUGUUCUCGAUCCCAAGAAGGACAAGCCUAGAAUAACACAUAUACCAGUUGUACGCGAGUUCCAAGAUGUGUUCCCUGAUGACCUAACUAGCUUGCCACCGGAUAGGCAAGUGGAGUUUCGAAUCGAUCUUACCCCAGGAGUAGCACCGAUAGCUCGUGCGCCCUAUCGGUUAGCACCAACCGAAAUGAAGGAGUUGAUGACUCAGUUGCAAGAUUUGCUCGACAAGGGUUUUAUUCGGCCCAGUACCUCACCGUGGGGUGCACCAGUACUAUUCGUCAAGAAGAAGGAUGGGACAAUGCGAAUGUGCAUUGACUACAGGGAGUUAAACAAGGUGACUAUAAAGAACCGGUAUCCAUUACCGAGAAUUGAUGACCUAUUCGAUCAACUCCAGGGGGCAAGUUACUUCUCAAAGAUCGAUUUACGGUCGGGGUAUCACCAGCUGAAAGUCAGAGAAGAAGAUGUGUCGAAGACAGCCUUUCGAACUAGGUAUGGUCAUUACGAGUUUUUAGUAAUGCCAUUUGGUUUGACCAAUGCACCAGCUGCAUUCAUGGAUCUGAUGAACCAGGUGUGCAAGCCAUACCUAGACAAGUUUGUAAUCGUCUUUAUCGAUGACAUAUUGAUAUACUCUAAAAGUAAGGCAGACCAUGAGCAACAUCUGCGGCUAACACUUAGUUUAUUGAGGAAAGAAAAAUUAUUUGCCAAAUUUUCGAAGUGCGAGUUUUGGCUUCGGGAAGUCCAGUUUUUGGGACAUGUUGUAAACGAACAAGGUAUCAAGGUGGACCCAGCAAAGAUUGAGGUGAUUGAAAAGUGGGAACCACUAAGGACCCCAUUAGAAGUUCGAAGUUUUCUUGGGUUGGCAGGAUACUAUAGACGGUUUAUACAAGACUUCUUGCGGAUAGUUGCACCGCUAACUACCCUGACAAGGAAAAAUGUGAAGUUCGAAUGGAAGCCAGAGCAAGAUAAUGCCUUUAACGUCUUAAAGGAAAAGCUUAGCAGUGCACCAGUAUUAUCUUUACCAGAAGGCAAUGAUGGCUUUGUUGUUUAUAGUGAUGCAUCCAAGUUAGGUUUGGGGUGUGUUUUGAUGCAAAACGGUAAGGUGAUUGCUUAUGCCUGACGACAAUUAAAGGUUCACGAGCGUAAAUACCCAACACAUGAUAUGGAGUUGGCUGCAGUAGUGUUCGCUUUAAAGAUUUGGAGACACUAUUUGUUUGGGACAAGGUGUUAGAUCUUCACUGAUCACAAGAGUUUGAAAUACUUGUUCCAUCAGAAAGAUCUGAACAUGAGACAGCAACGGUGGACGGAACUAUUAAAAGAUUACGACUGUGAGAUAUUAUAUCAUCCGGGGAAGGCAAAUGUGGUAGCUGAUGCACUAAGUCGUAAGGAAAGAAGAGAACCACCUAAGAUUCGAAUGAUGAAGAUUAGCAUAACCACCAGCUUACUAGAUGAUUUGAGAAAGAAUCAAGAGGAGGCCUCGAAGGAAGAGAAAUGGAAAAGUGAAAGGGUGGCGGGAGUAAUACAAUCAUUGGAAAAGGAUAGUCGUGGCUUGAAGUGUUUCCAAGGAAGGGUUUGGGUACCACGAGUGGGUGAAGUGCGUAACUUACUUCUCAAGGAAGCGCACAUGUCAAAGUACUCAAUCCAUCCGGGAACAAACAAGAUGUAUCAAGACUUACGAAAAUCUUACUGGUGGCCUGGUAUGAAAAAGGAUAUAGCCUAUUUUGUUGAAAGGUGUUUGACGUGCUUGAAGGUGAAGGCUGAACACCAAAGGCCAUACGGUCAGUUACAGUCAAUGGAGAUUCCAGUGUGGAAAUGGGAUCACAUCACAAUGGACUUUGUGACUAAGUUACCAAAGACACCAAAAGGUUAUGACGCGAUUUGGGUAGUUGUGGAUAGAUUAACCAAAUCGGCACACUUCCUUCCGAUUAAGGAGACGUACCCGUUAGAAAGGCUAGCUAAAUUAUACGUUGACGAGAUAGUGAAACUGCAUGGAGUUCCAUUAUCUAUUAUUUCGGAUCGGGAUAGUCGUUUUACGUCGACAUUUUGGGGUAGCUUCCAACGAGAAAUGGGUACUCGAGUAAAAUUGAGCACGGCAUACCACCCGCAAACAGAUGGCCAAAGUGAACGGACAAUACAGACCUUGGAAGACAUGUUAAGGUCUUGUGUUAUUGAUUUUGGAGGGUCGUGGGAAACUCAUUUGCCGUUAAUAGAGUUUUCCUACAACAAUAGCUAUCAUGCAAGUAUAAAAGUCGCACCAUAUGAGGCUCUAUAUGGCAGGAAAUGUAGAACUCCAUUAUGUUGGAAUGAGGUGGGGGAGAAACAGUUGGCUGGACCUGAACUUGUUCAGCAAACUACCGACAAAAUCCAGGUGAUUAGGGAUAACAUUAAGGUUGCUCAGGAUCGGCAGAAAAGUUAUGCAGAUAAGCGGAGAAAGCCAAUAAUGUUUCAGGUCGGUGAUAAAGUUAUGUUAAAGGUGUCCCCAUGGAAGGGCGUUGUUCGUUUUGGUAAGCGGGGGAAGUUAAAUCCUCGCUACGUUGGACCCUUUAUAAUUAAGGAAAGAGUUAGAGAGGUAGCCUAUCGAUUGGAGCUACCAAGGGAAAUGCAGGGCAUUCAUAGCACAUUCCAUGUCUCUAAUCUAAAGAAGUGUCUAGCGGAUACCGCCAUGGAAGUGCCACUUCAAGAAAUUAAGGUUGAUGAGAAGCUACGAUAUACAGAAGAACCCGUUGCGAUUAUAGAUCGAAAGGUCAGAAAGUUAAGGAAUGUGGAGAUACCACUGGUGAAAGUUCAGUGGAAGUAUCAUAAAGGUUCGGAUGCAACAUGGGAGACCNNNNNNNNNNGUGAGGUUUCUUAUGUAGUGUUAGAUUCUUUAGUCUAUGCUGAAAGUGUAAUUUAUUCCUCAUAUUUGAAUAAUGUAAUAACUCACCAAAAAAAUAUAUAUAUGUAAUAUAUAUAAUCUGAUUAUAUCAAUCUAAAAGAAAGAGGAUUAGUUCACAAUUAAUGGGUUAAUUAUAUACAAAUUAUGAGGCUUAAUGAUCAAAACCGUCACCUUGAUUAGGCUAGUUAAAUACGAGCAAAUGAAAGGGUUUCGCCGGUUAUAGACUUAGGCAUUAUAUAUAGCAUGAAAAAUCAAGUGGAAACCCCACUGGAAUUGUGAAAACCGACGAAGAAUCAAGGGAGAAAUCGGGUGUUGAAUUUUUUGAAGAUUUUCGGAGUGUUUCUUGAAAUUGAGGUAAUGUUACGUGAUUUAAGUUUGAUAUUGUUGUUUGGAUAGAUUUACAUGCAUGAUAGGUGUAUUUUGGUUCCACCUGUUGUCUUGAUUCGACCCACACUAAUAGUAAUUUGACAAAAAUCUAAAAAUAGAAUUAUUGCUAAAUUUUUUUAUGGGAAUAUGCCAACAGAAGGUGGAGAUGCUUUGUGGUAAUUUUGAAAGAUUAUUUUACAUACUUUUUCGAAGGUGCGUUAUAUUCAAAAAUGGCAGUAGGUAAAUUUGUUUGCGGGUANUGGGUAAAGAAGAUGACUAUUCGAGUAUAUUUCUUUUGGGUGGGCGGAAUUGUUUUCCAGUGUUUUAAAAUAAAUUAUUUACAAUUUUAAAACCAAAAUAUAGUAGGAGCUUACUGGUCAAUGAAGGUGAUUGUACCCAAAGUCGUGUGAUCAAUCCUUGGGCGCGUCUCCUUUUAUUUCAGUGCUUUUUUUAGGGGCAAAAUGAAUCUUGUUCUUUUACUUGCUUAUAUUAAUAUUUACACAAAUGAUCCUUACCUUUUGAAAGGUUUGCUGAAUCUAACCUUGUGCUUGAUAAGCACGCAUUUGUUGAAAGAAAAGUUAAGUUCAGGAAACUUUAAUUUUAGUCCCUGAAGUAUUUUUUUAUGAACUGGGGUCUUAUUCAAAAGUUAAAUAUGGCAACUUCACUUGGUCGUAUUUUUGGACGCUGUGAAAGUUUAUUUAUUUAUUUAUUUUUAUUCACUUAUUUAUGUAUCUAUUUAUUUUAUAUGUUCUUCUGAGAGUGAAAUUCUAUUAGUUUAGCAAAUUAAAUUAAAUAUGACAUCAUACGUUUAGAUAUCCGAUUUAUGUAAUGUUGGCAUAUAUUUAAGUAAGAUUUUACAAAUGUCGUAAAUAUGUUAGUAAAUAACUAUUGGUGGGUCGAACAAGAUAUGUGAAUAUCGGAACCAAAAUGAUCGCAUAGGAUGUUUGUCUAGGAUUGUUGCCUUAGAAAUAUGUUGAUUAAAUGUAGGGAGCGUGUAGCGUGACAAGCUUUGGUUAAGACCUAACGCCAACAAGGUGAGUUUCGUGUGAAUUUUGUGGUUGCUUGCAUGAAAAGUUGAUUCUAAAUUAUUUGCAAUUAUAUGUUACUGUUGUUAUUGCUAUGAAUAUUUGUGUGAAAUUUUGUGAAUUAUUUCAUAUAAAAGGGUGAAAAUGGUGGGUGACAUAUAGGGAACAGGUGUAUUUACACGGUCUUAUUAUUAGUCGUCGUACAGGGUGUUAGUACGCGGCGGAGAGCUUACGCUCUGUUUAUCUAGCCGUAAGCAUAUUUGUUGUGCCCGGCG